UACGUAGGGUGCAAGCGUUAUCCGGAAUUAUUGGGCGUAAAGAGCUCGUAGGCGGUUUGUCGCGUCUGCUGUGAAAACUGGAGGCUCAACCUCCAGCCUGCAGUGGGUACGGGCAAACUAGAGUGCGGUAGGGGAGAUUGGAACUCCUGGUGGAGCGGUGAAAUGCGUAGAUAUCAGGAGGAACACCGGUGGCGAAGGCGGCAUCCUGGACCGACAUUGACGCUGAGGAGCGAAAGCUAGGGGAGCAAACGGG
rnacentral:rRNA from 1 species